CCUCAAAUCUGGUAGGACUACCCGCUGAACUUAAGCAUAUCAAUAAGCGGAGGAAAAGAAACUAACAAGGAUUCCCCUAGUAACUGCGAGUGAAGCGGGAAAAGCUCAAAUUUAAAAUCUGGCGGUCCCUGUGGCCGUCCGAGUUGUAAUUUAGAGAAGUGUUAUCCGUGCUGGACCGUGUACAAGUCUCCUGGAAUGGAGCGUCAUAGAGGGUGAGAAUCCCGUCUUUGACACGGACUGCCAGUGCAUUGUGAUGCGCUCUCAAAGAGUCGAGUUGUUUGGGAAUGCAGCUCAAAAUGGGUGGUAAAUUCCAUCUAAAGCUAAAUAUUGAGGAGAGACCGAUAGCGAACAAGUACCGUGAGGGAAAGAUGAAAAGAACUUUGGAAAGAGAGUUAAACAGUACGUGAAAUUGCUGAAAGGGAAACGCUUGAAGUCAGUCGCGCUGUUCAGGACUCAGCCUUGCUUUGCUUGGUGUACUUCCUGUUCGGUGGGUCAGCAUCAAUUUUGGUCGGUGGAUAAAGGCUUAGAGAAUGUGGCAUCUUCGGGUGUGUUAUAGCUCUGGGUCGCAUACAUCGGCUGGGAUUGAGGAACUCAGCACGCCGCAAGGCCGGGGACUUGUCCCACGUACGUGCUUAGGAUGCUGGCAUAAU
rnacentral:rRNA from 1 species